GGGUUAGAGGAGGGUUAGAGGAGGGUUAGAGGAGAGUUAGAGGGGAGUUAGAGGAGAGUUAGAGGAGGGUUAGAGGAGAGUUAGAGGAGGGUUAAAGAGUUAGAGGAGGGUUAAAGAGUUAGAGGACGGUUAAAGAGUUAGAGGACGGUUAAAGAGUUAGAGGAGAGUUAAAGAGUUAGAGGAGGUUUAGAGGAGAGUUAGAGGGGUUAGAAGAGGGUUGGAGGAGAGUUAGAGGACGGUUAAAGAGUUAGAGGAGGUUUAGAGGGGUUAUAGGAGGGUUAGAGGAGAGUUAGAGGAGAGUUAGAGGGGUUAGAGGAGAGUUAGAGGAGGGUUAAAGAGUUAGAGGAGGUUUAGAGGAGGGUUAGAGGAGAGUUAGAGGAGAGUUAGAGGAGAGUUAGAGGAGAGUUAGAGGAGAGUUAGAGGAGAGUUAGAGGAGAGUUAGAGGAGAGUUAGAGGAGAGUUAGAGGAGAAUUAAAGAGUUAGAGGAGGUUUAGAGGAGGGUUAGAGGAGAGUUAGAGGAGAGUUAGAGGAGGGUUAGAGGAGGUUUAGAGGAGGGUUAGAGGAGAGUUAGAGGGGUUAAAGGAGGGUUGGAGGAGGGUUAAAG
ensembl:lncRNA